GGAUGAACGCUAGCGGCAGGCUUAACACAUGCAAGUCGAGGGGCAUCGGGAGGAAAGCUUGCUUUCCUUGCCGGCGACCGGCGCACGGGUGAGUAACACGUAUGCAACCUGCCCUCUUCAGGGGGACAACCUUCCGAAAGGGAGGCUAAUCCCGCGUAUAUCGGUUUCGGGCAUCCGAGAUCGAGGAAAGAUUCAUCGGAAGAGGAUGGGCAUGCGGCGCAUUAGCUAGACGGCGGGGUAACGGCCCACCGUGGCGACGAUGCGUAGGGGUUCUGAGAGGAAGGUCCCCCACACUGGUACUGAGACACGGACCAGACUCCUACGGGAGGCAGCAGUGAGGAAUAUUGGUCAAUGGGAGAGAUCCUGAACCAGCCAAGCCGCGUGAGGGAAGACGGCCCUAUGGGUUGUAAACCUCUUUUGUCGGAGAACAAAACCCGGGACGAGUCCCGGACUGCGUGUAUCCGAAGAAAAAGCAUCGGCUAACUCCGUGCCAGCAGCCGCGGUAAUACGGAGGAUGCGAGCGUUAUCCGGAUUUAUUGGGUUUAAAGGGUGCGUAGGCGGUCCGUUAAGUCAGCGGUAAAAUUGCGGGGCUCAACCCCGUCGAGCCGUUGAAACUGGCAGACUUGAGUUGGCGAGAAGUACGCGGAAUGCGCGGUGUAGCGGUGAAAUGCAUAGAUAUCGCGCAGAACUCCGAUUGCGAAGGCAGCGUACCGGCGCCAGACUGACGCUGAGGCACGAAAGCGUGGGGAUCGAACAGGAUUAGAUACCCUGGUAGUCCACGCAGUAAACGAUGAAUGCUGGUUGUCCGGGUCGAAUGAGAUCUGGGCGGCGAAGCGAAAGCGAUAAGCAUUCCACCUGGGGAGUACGCCGGCAACGGUGAAACUCAAAGGAAUUGACGGGGGCCCGCACAAGCGGAGGAACAUGUGGUUUAAUUCGAUGAUACGCGGGGAACCUUACCCGGGCUCAAACGGGAGCGGAAUGGACCAGAGACGGUUCAGCCUACGGGCCGCUUCCGAGGUGCUGCAUGGUUGUCGUCAGCUCGUGCCGUGAGGUGUCGGCUUAAGUGCCAUAACGAGCGCAACCCCCGCCGGCAGUUGCUAACGGGCAAUGCCGAGGACUCUGCCGGGACUGCCGCCGCAAGGCGUGAGGAAGGCGGGGAUGACGUCAAAUCAGCACGGCCCUUACGUCCGGGGCGACACACGUGUUACAAUGGGCGGUACAGCGGGAAGCCAGGCGGCGACGCCGAGCGGAACCCGAAAGCCGUUCUCAGUUCGGAUCGGAGUCUGCAACCCGACUCCGUGAAGCUGGAUUCGCUAGUAAUCGCGCAUCAGCCAUGGCGCGGUGAAUACGUUCCCGGGCCUUGUACACACCGCCCGUCAAGCCAUGGGAGCCGGGGGUGCUUGAAGU
rnacentral:rRNA from 1 species